ACAAAAGGAUGAAGACGCCGCCAAUUCAAAAUUUCAAGAUAUCAAUGAAGCUUAUCAGGGUAAUUUGGGAUUAUUUUUUUUAAUUAUAUUAUUUUUUAUUAUUUAUUAUUUAUUUUUGUCGCUGGUAAAUUGUUAGUUGGGAAUUUAGAAUUAUAAUUUGAAAUAUUAUCGACGGAGUCAAUUUGAAUAACCGACGUCAAGCUUUGACGAAUGGGAGAAUUUGACAAGGCAAAAAAACCUAAUGAAUUCUGUUUCUUUACAUGCCUAAAAAUUAUGUUGGUUUUCAAAACCUAGAAAAAUAGGAAACAUUGGCAAAAAAAAUAACAAACCAACAUUGAUUGAUGUGGCAAGAAUCGUGCCGGAAUCAUGGUACCUGUUGAUUUUCCUACCAUUUUCGAACCUUGUAUCGUGUCUACUUUUUUACACGUCGGAAUAUAAUAGAAAAUAGCGUUGGUAUGAAUGCGUAAACACGUCUUUACAGGGUAAGUCAGAGUGUUACUAAUUUAAACACAAAACCUUAAUAACCUUGUAAUUAGCCAAUAUAUGUAAUAAUGAUCGAUUAAGUAAUCAAUCGUGCAUGUAAAGAUCUACAAUUUCUUGAGAUAAAUUCGAAUAUUUGAGCUUAUCAUUAAGUCUACAGCCAACGGUCUCAACUUUUAUAUAUGUUGUAAUCAAGCGGAGCCAGGAUUUUAAGUCCGAUUUUUGUUGCUAUUAUACACAAUGUUUUUUUUAUAUAAAAUAAUACCGGUUGUAAUAAAACGUGACUUACAUUGGAAUAUUUCUCAACUGUGUUGGGGAACAGUGUUGAGCAAUCCUGCAAAACGGCACGAAUAUGACAAGAAAGGAUGCUUAACGGUGAGUUGGUAAAUCGGGGUACCUAUCUUUUUAGCAAAUCGACUCAGAGCCACCUCAUUCCAGUAAAUGGGAGGCUAGUUAUGGAGCUUAACACACACCGGAACUAUGCACAUCUCACUGGGGUCAAAGUCGAAGUAUCUCGCCAUUGGUUUGAGGUGCAACUGUCUGCUGAAGAUGGUAUACGGGCCUCCUUCUAGCACUUUCUUCUUGUCUUCUUCCAUCUCAAACGUGAAUAUUAACCAGCCAUUAUCAUGGAUUUUGUAGCCUGUUUCCCCUGGAAUUUUCCAGCAAAAUAUCCAACGAGACAGAUGCCGAAGGUUUGCUCAAUCUCAGUUUCAUCGGAAGGUUGGAAAAUCAUAUCUUCUUCAUCGUCUGAGGGGAGAUUCGUGAGCUGAAAUCCGUGUUUAGGCACCCUAUUCUUCGCAAAUAAUGAGUUGUAUGGGGCUUUGGGAGGUAUAGCAGAAUUCUGUUCUUGACGAGUUGGUUGUGGCAUUUCAUCGAACACCUUGUCUGCACUAGUUGGAACAGCUGUUUGUGGAAGAGUUUCUUUUGGAUCGACCAUCCUUGUGCUAACAGAGUCAGCAUCACAAGGGAAUUCUCUUCUAGACGCAGAUGAAGAACUGUUGUAAUCUUCGAUUGAGGGAUGAGUAUCAUCUGCGAUAGGCUGAUAAUCGUGGUUCUGCUUCAUAAUCGAUGCUAAGGAAGAUUCUUCACAGGCCUGGGUGCCAUUCAAUUGUUCGUCGGUGCUCUUGGCAAAGAACGCCCCUUUUUCUUUCGUGAAUUCAAUUGCAGAUCCUUCGUCUUCGGUGAUGGGUUUUUUGCUCUGGGUCAUCUGCGUUGACUUGCUUGUGGUGCCUCUAUGCUUAUUUCUGUAAUUUCCCAUGGAUUACAGCAAGAAAAAAGCGAAAUCGAAAAAGAUGCAGACCCAAAAUUGCGAUAGACGCAGAUUUGGGGAAAAUAGGAUUUAUGGGUAAAAUCAAACAGCGAGAGAGUUGUGGUGUAGAUUUCUUGUAACUUGGAAUCGAGAAAUUACAAGAAAUAGCCAAUUUGGGACAUGAAUUGGUGAAUGUUCUUCGUAGAGAAAGGGGAAGCACGCCUCCAACGGUCGGAAAUUAGAGAGUUUGGAGACUUUCUCUCACUAACUUUCUUUCUCUACUACUGAGAGCUGUUUCUAGUGUACCAAAAGGCGAAAUCCCUCGUCUCCAG
rnacentral:lncRNA from 1 species